CCUACGGGAGGCAGCAGUAGGGAAUUUUGCGCAAUGGGGGAAACCCUGACGCAGCAACACCGCGUGAAUGUUAAGCCCUUCGGGGUGUACAGGCCUGUCAAGAGGGACGAAUGUAGACAGUAUCUCUAAAGGAAGCACCGGCUAACUCCGUGCCAGCAGCCGCGGUGAUACGGGGGGUGCAAGCGUUGUCCGGAUUAAUUGGGCGUAAAGCGUUCGCAGGCGGUAUGUCAAGUCUGAUGUUAAAGCCCGGGGCUCAACUCCGGUACGGCAUUGGAUACUGGCAAACUAGAGUGUGGUAGAGGUAGAGGGAAUUCCUGGUGUAGCGGUGAAAUGCGUAGAUAUCAGGAGGAACAUCGGUGGCGAAAGCGCUUUACUGGACCAUUAUUGACGCUGAGGAACGAAAGCCAGGGGAGCAAAUGGGAUUAGAUACCCCUGUAGUC
rnacentral:rRNA from 1 species